rnacentral:rRNA from 1 species
AUGAACGCUGGCGGCGUGCCUCAUACAUGCAAGUCGCGCGAACGGACGAGAAGCUUGCUUCUCUGAUGUUAGCGGCGGACGGGUGAGUAACACGUGGAUAACCUACCUAUAAGACUGGGAUAACUUCGGGAAACCGGAGCUAAUACCGGAUAAUAUUUUGAACCGCAUGGUUCAAAAGUGAAAGACGGUCUUGCUGUCACUUAUAGAUGGAUCCGCGCUGCAUUAGCUAGUUGGUAAGGUAACGGCUUACCAAGGCAACGAUGCAUAGCCGACCUGAGAGGGUGAUCGGCCACACUGGAACUGAGACACGGUCCAGACUCCUACGGGAGGCAGCAGUAGGGAAUCUUCCGCAAUGGGCGAAAGCCUGACGGAGCAACGCCGCGUGAGUGAUAAAGGUCUUCGGAUCGUAAAACUCUGUUAUUAGGGAAGAACAUAUGUGUAAGUAACUGUGCACAUCUUGACGGUACCUAAUCAGAAAGCCACGGCUAACUACGUG